rnacentral:rRNA from 1 species
UACGUAGGGGGCAAGCGUUGUCCGGAUUUAUUGGGCGUAAAGAGCGUGUAGGCGGCCUGAAAGGUCAGCUGUGAAAACUCGGGGCUCAACCCCGAGACGUCGGUUGAAACCAUCUGGCUAGAGUCCGGAAGAGGAGUGUGGAAUUCCCGGUGUAGCGGUGAAAUGCAUAGAUAUCGUCAAGAACACCGAUAGCGAAGGCAGCCAACUAGGGGUUAACUGACGCUGAGGCACGAAAGUGCGGGGAUCAAACAGG